GAUGAAGAACGUAGCGAAAUGCGAUAAGUAAUGCGAAUUGCAGAAUCCGUGAGUCAUCGAAUCUUUGAACGCAUAUUGCGCCCUUUGGCAUUCCGAAGGGCAUGCCUGUUCGAGCGUCAUUAUCACCCCUCAAGCCCGGCUUGGUGUUGGGCCCCCGGUGGUCGUACCCGACCACCCGCCUCAAAGAUAGUGACGGCGUCCCAGAGGGAACCGGUACGAGGAGCUUUCACGAGCAUGUACGCGGGACGACUCUGUGGGCGACGGUCUUUUUUAACCUUAAUAUAUCAAGUGUUGACCUCGGAUCAGGUAGGAAUACCCGCUGAACUUAAGCAUAUCAAUAAGCGGAGGA
rnacentral:misc_RNA from 1 species